rnacentral:rRNA from 1 species
GACGAACGCUGGAGGCGUGCUUAACACAUGCAAGUCGAACGAUGAAAUGGAGCUUGCUCCAUGGAUUAGUGGCGAACGGGUGAGUAACACGUGAAUAACCUGCCCUUAAUUUUGGAAUAACCCAGGGAAACCUGGGCUAAUACCGGAUAAGUAAACCUGUGGCAUCAAAUGGAUUUGGAAAGUUUUUCGAUUAAGGAUGGAUUCGCGGCCUAUCAGCUUGUUGGUGAGGUAAUGGCUCACCAAGGCGACGACGGGUAGCCGGCAUGAGAGGGUGAACGGCCACACUGGGACUGAGACACGGCCCAGACUCCUACGGGAGGCAGCAGUGGGGAAUAUUGCGCAAUGGACGAAAGUCUGACGCAGCGACGCCUCGUGAGGGACGAAGGUCUUCGGAUUGUAAACCUCUUUCAGCAGGGACGAAGCGAAAGUGACGGUACCUGCAGAAGAAGCACCGGCUAACUAUGUGCCAGCAGCCGCAGUAA